rnacentral:rRNA from 1 species
GCGGUGUUGUGGGCCCUGAUGAGGAUGGCUACUGACGUCCUGCCUGCGCAUUGUUGUUAGGUGAAGUGGUGUGGAAACGCCUGCCGUAGAAGGUGAUAGUCCUGUAGCUGAAGAUGAUGGUGUGUGGGUUGUUGGGUUGCCCGAGUAGCAGCGGGCUCGUGGAAUCUGCUGUGAAUCUGCCGGGACCACCCGGUAAGCCUAAAUACUCAGUGUGACCGAUAGUGGAUAGUACCGUGAGGGAAUGGUGAAAAGUACCCCGGGAGGGGAGUGAAAUAGUUCCUGAAACCAUGUGCUUACAAUCCGUCAGAGCACUUUUUGUGUGUGAUGGCGUGCCUUUUGAAGAAUGAGCCUGCGAGUCAGCGGCAUGUCGCGAGGUUAACCCGUGUGGGGUAGCCGUAGGGAAACCGAAUCCUAAUGGGGUGUUUAGUGGCAUGUCCUGGACCCGAAGCGGGGUGAUCUACCCAUGGCCAGUGUGAAGCAGCAGUAAGAUGCUGUGGAGGCGCGAACCCACGUAGGUUGAAAACUGCGGGGAUGAGCUGUGGGUAGGGGUGAAAGGCCAAUCAAACUCCGUGAUAGCUGGUUCUCCCCGAAAUGCAUUUAGGUGCAGCGUCGCAUUAGCUUGGUGGAGGUAGAGCUACUGGUUGGUUGAGCGGGACUACAAUCUUAGCAAUGUCAGCCAAACUCCGAAUGCCAUUAAUGUGUUGUGCGGCAGUGAGACUGUGGGGGAUAAGCUUCAUAGUCGAGAGGGAAACAGCCCAGAUCGCCGGUUAAGGCCCCUAAGGGUGUGCUAAGUGGAAAAGGAUGUGGGAUCGCGAAGACAGCCAGGAGGUUGGCUUAGAAGCAGCCAUCCUUGAAAGAGUGCGUAAUAGCUCACUGGUCGAGUGGUUCUGCGCCGACAAUGUAGUGGGGCUCAAGCACACCGCCGAAGCCGCGGCAAUAAUAUUUUGUUAUUGGGUAGGGGAGCGUCGUGCACGUGUUGAAGCGUUACCGUGAGGAGGCGUGGAGUGUGUGCGAGUGAGAAUGCAGGCAUGAGUAACGAAUUGGAAGGUGAGAAUCCUUCCCGCCGGAUGACUAAGGGUUCCUGGGUCAAGUUCGUCUUCCCAGGGUGAGUCGGGACCUAAGGCGAGG